AUGCCGCUGGGGCAGCGCGCCGGGGACAAGAGCGACUCCCGCUACUGCGGGGUCGAGGUGCUCGACUUCCCCGCCGGCGACGGCCUCCCCGCCGUCCUCACCCACUCCCUCUCCUCCGCCUUCGACUUCCUCCUCGCCCCGCUCGUCGAUCCCGACUACCGGCCCACGCCCGGCGCCGUCCUGCCGGUGGCGGCCUCGGACCUCGUCCUCAGCCCGUCCCAGUGGAGCAGCCACAUCGUCGGGAAGAUCAGCGAGUGGAUUGAUUUGGAUUCCGAGGACGAGCAGCUCCGGCUCGACUCGGAGCUCACGCUCAAGCAGGAGAUCGCCUGGGCGACUCAUCUCUCCUUGCAGGCGUGUGUUAUUCCUCCUCCCAAGAGGUCGACCUGUGCCAAUUAUGCUAGAGUUGUAAAUAAUAUUUUGCAAGGCCUGACCAAUAUGCAGUUGUGGCUUAGGAUACCUCUGGAGAAGUCUGAAUCUAUGGAUGAAGACCAUGACAAAGUAAAUAAUAAUAACCCCACGAGUGAAACAGUAGACUCGUGGGAAUGGUGGAAUUCAUUCAGACUGUUAUGCGAGCAUAGCAGUCAACUGUAUGUAGCACUUGAUAUCUUGAGCUCGCUGCCAUCAAUGAACUCUCUAGGGCGCUGGUUUGGGGAGCCUGUAAGAGCUGCGAUUCUUCAAACAGAUGCUUUUCUAACAAAUGCAAGAGGUUAUCCUUGCUUGUCCAAACGCCACCAGACUCUGCUUACUGGUUUUUUUAACCAUUCAGUUCAGGUAAUUAUCUCUGGGAGAUCAAAUCAUAAUGUUUCCCAAGUAUCUGAAGGAGUGCUCUCACGUGAUGAAAACCACACCGAAGAUACCCCCACUCAGCAUGCAUUGAGCCCGUACCUUGACUACAUGGCCUACCUCUAUCAGAGGAUGGAUCCACUUCCUGAGCAAGAACGCUUUGAGAUCAACUAUAGGGAUUUCUUGCAAUCUCCUCUCCAGCCUCUGAUGGAUAAUUUGGAAGCUCAGACGUAUGAGACUUUCGAGAAAGACACUGUGAAGUAUACACAGUAUCAAAGAGCAAUCGCUAAGGCGUUGGUUGAUAAGGUCUCAGAUGAUGAAGUUUCCACAACUAGGACGGUCUUGAUGGUUGUUGGAGCAGGCCGAGGGCCUCUCGUAAGAGCAUCAUUGCAGGCUGCAGAAGAAACUGGUCGGAUGCUAAAAGUAUAUGCAGUGGAGAAAAAUCCUAACGCAGUUAUUACUCUUCAUAGUUUGAUCAAAUUGGAAGGGUGGGAAAGCAUGGUUACUAUUAUUUCUAGUGACAUGCGGUGCUGGGAUGCUCCUGAAAAAGCUGAUAUUUUGGUCAGCGAGUUGCUUGGGUCCUUUGGUGAUAAUGAGUUAUCUCCUGAGUGUCUAGAUGGUGCCCAAAGAUUCUUGAAGCCUGAUGGGAUUUCUAUUCCUUCAUCUUACACAAGCUUUAUCCAACCAGUAACUGCAUCGAAACUACACAAUGACAUUAAAGCACACAAAGAUAUUGCACAUUUUGAAACGGCAUAUGUUGUCAAGCUACACCGAGUAGCAAGACUUGCACCUCCACAAGAGGUUUUCUCUUUCGCACAUCCAAACUUCUCACCAAAGGCCACCAACCAAAGGUAUACCAAGUUACAGUUUGAACUACCACAAGACACAGGAUCAUGCCUUGUGCACGGAUUCGCUGGAUAUUUUGAUGCCGUACUAUAUAAAGAUGUCCAUCUAGGAAUUGAGCCGAACACAUGUACACCAAACAUGUUUAGCUGGUUCCCAAUCUUUUUCCCACUGAGGAAGCCCAUAUACGUGCCGUCAGAGUCGCCCAUAGAAGUGCACUUUUGGCGAUGCUGUGGUGCCACCAAGGUGUGGUACGAGUGGGCUCUGGUGGCUCCGUCUCCAUCCCCGAUCCAUAACAGCAAUGGCCGGUCAUAUUGGGUCGGUCUAUAA
rnacentral:rRNA from 1 species